CUUGAAAGAAUAUUUCUUAUAUAGUUAGAAGCUGAUCAUUUUAAAUUAUCUUUAGACAAAUGUUUCUUUCAUGUGGUGCACCAUUUUCAAAUGCAAUUUGGGGCCACUCUUUUCUUGUUGGAGCUGAGAUGGAUCCCCGGGGUUUGCCCCUAAUAUUCAUACACACAAGCAAACCAGGGUCUGGGAGAUUUAUAGCUUACAUCCUCAUCCUCAUCAUCUUGUUGUUUUUUUUCCCCUUCAGAUUUAAUCUAGCAGACCACACUAACCUGGCUUAAGAACUUUUCAAAUAUAAAUGAUCUAAAUGCUACUUUACUUGGCAAAACAAAGGCAGAGUAAGUAAUUUUCUCAAAUCUCUCUUCAGGCAUGCCUUAUAAGGAAGAUUUUCUUUCUGGGGGGAUUUAAACUCUCAUUAAUCUAUUUCUUCUUUCAGCAAUAAAAUGAAAAAUGGAAUGUGAUUAUCAGAAUGGAUAGUCUGGUGUGGACCUGAUAACAUGCUUUUGAAAAGUGGUUUACAUUUGACAUCAGUUAAGCUCCUUGGGCCAAGGCGUCUCAGGUCUGCUAUGUGGGGCCUGGACUCCACUCCCAGUGUGGUCACAAAUAUGCUUUAUUGGUUUCAAAGGCCUCUCAAGCCAGUUGGAAGGAUGAAUGAAUUCCUAGGGCAGUCUCACAUUAUCAAACAAGGGCCUCCCUAUUCCCUGAAACAUAGCAAUAUUGAAAUUAGACCAGCUGAUAACUCUACAAUGGCCUCUGAGUGCUUCAGUGAAAGGAAGAAUCUCAUGCCUCUCACGUGAAAUCAAACGCUAGAAAUGAUUAAGCUUAGUGAGGAAGGCAUGCUGAAGUCCAAGACAGGCUGAAAGUAAACCCUCUUGGGCCAGUUAGCCAAGUUGUGAAUGCAAAGGAAAAGUUUUUCCAGAAAACUAAUAGUGUUAUUCCAGUGAACAUACAAAUGAUAAGAUGAUGAAACAGACUUAUUGCUGAUAUGGAGAAAGUUUAAUGGUUUAGGUAGAUCAAACCAGCCACAACAUUCUCCUAAGCCAAAGCCUAACCCAGAGCAAGACCUUGUUUUCAAUUAUAUAAAGGCUGAAAGAAGUGAGGAAGCUGCAGAAGAAAAGUCUGAAGCAAGCAGAGGUUUCUUCAGGAGUCUUAAAAAACAAAACCCAUGUUCAUAACAUAAAAGUGCAAGAUGAAGCAGCAAGUGAUGAUGGAGAAGCUGCAGCAAGUUAUUCAGAUUUAGCCAAGACCAUUGAUGAUGGUGACUACAUUAAGCAAAAUGUAUUCAAUGCAGAUCAGACCACCUUAUACUGGAAGAAGAUGUCAUCAUGAACUCUCAAGCUAGAAUACCAGGUUUCAAUGCUCCAAAGGACAGACUUGGUAAGGACUAAUGCAUCUGGUGACUUUCAUUUGAAGCCAAUGAUCAUUGACCACUCUGAAAAUUGUAGGGCUCUUAAGAAUUAGGCUAAAUCUACUCUUCUUUUGCUCUAUAAAAGGAACAACAAGCCUUGAUAAUUGCACAUCUCUUUACAGCAUGGUUUAAUGAAUAUUUUAAGCCCUAAGCCCACUGUUGAGACCUACUGCUCAGGAAAAAAACAUCCUUUCAAAAUAGUAGUGCUCAUUGACAAUGCAGCUGGUCACCCAAGAGCUCGGAUGGAAACGUACAAGGAGACGAACAUUGUUUUCAUGACUGCUAACAACAUCAAUUCUGCAGCCUAUGGAUCAAGGAGUAAUUCUGACUUUCAACUCUUAUUACUUAAGAAAUAUAUUUUGCAUGGUUAUAGUUGCCUCUGAUGGAUCUGAGCAAAGUAAAUUGAAAACCUUUUAGAAAUGAUUCACUGUUUUAGGUGUCAUUAAGAACAUUAGUAAUUUAUGAAAGGCCAAAAUAUUCACAUUAACAAGAAUUUGGAAGAAGUCAAUUCCAGCUCUCAUGGAUGACUAUGACGAGUUUGAGACUUCAGUGGAGGAAGUUACUAUAGAUGUGAUAGAAAUGACAAGAGAACUAGAAUUAGAAGUGGAGCCUGAAGAUGUCCCUGAAUUGCUGCAAUCUCAUGAUAAAACUUUAACAGAUGAGGAGUUGUCUCUUAUGAAUGACUAAAAAGAGUCAUUUCUUGAGAUGGAAUUUACUGGUGAAGAUGCUAUAAUCAUUGUUGAAAUUGCAACAAAAGAUUUAGCAUAUUUCAUAUACUUAGUUGAUAAAGGAGCAGCAGUGUUUGAGAGAACUAACCUCGAUUUCGAAAGAACUAAUAUGGGUAAAAUGCAAUCAAACAACAUUGCAUGCCACAGAGAAAUUUUUCAUGAAAGGAAGAGACCAUAGAUAUGGCAAACUUGAUUGUGAAAUUAUUUUAAGAAAUUGCCAUAGCCACAGCAACCUUCAGAAACCAAUACACCGAUCAAUCAGCAGCCAUUAACAUCAAGGCAAGACCUCUCACCACCAAAAAGAUUAUGACUUGCUGAAGGCUCAGAUGAUCAUCAACAUUUUUUAGCAAUAAAGUACUUUUAAAUUAAGCA
rnacentral:lncRNA from 13 species